GGUCAAAACCAUCAUGACGAAAACAAGUUUAAUUUGAAAUACAACCGCUUGGCGGCGCUAGUGAAUUGGAAAUAACCUAAAAGGUUAGAUAUUUCGAUAGUUGAAAUCUUAAGAAUAUUGCCGUCUUCUACAAAAUUGUUCGAAUGAUUAAAACCAUCAUGACGAAAGCAAGUUUAGUUAGUAAUACAACCGCUUGGCGGCGCUAGUGUAUUGGAAAUAACCUGAUAGUUCAGGUAUCUCAAAAUAUGUAAUUUUUAGAAUAUUGCCGCCUUCUACAAAGUUGUUCGGGUGGUCAAAACCAUUAUGACCAACGCAGGUUUAGAUUAAGAUUUAACCGCUUGGUGUAUAAGACAUAACCUGCUAGGUUAGAUAUUUCGAAAACUGAUUUUUUUUAAUAUUGCCGUAUUCCACAAAGUUGUUCGGAUGGUAAAAACCAUUGACGAAUACAUAGACCUAAAUGUCCGGUACAAAGCCAUCAGAAAAUCGGGCACCAUGUCUUCUUCUUCAUUUUGAAGAAAAUACCCCUCGUGGGUGACGAAUUACAUUAUACAUAAAUAUUUUACGAGCGCUGACUUACCCCUCUUGACGUUUUGACAGUUUGUCUGUUUGUUUUUCUCCCUCGCACAUUGCGACGUCGUUUUUGUUUUGCAUCGUUCAUAAAAAUAUGAAUCCGUAUAGAAAACAUGACGUGACAAUGCGUCGCAUUUUUGGGAAGUACACGCUCGUCCAGCUGAACUCAAUUUUGGGUCAGCAUAACUCAAAAUAAUAACUUCUAUUGAGACGUCAAACUCUGAGUAACUGAGAGUUAUGAUUUUGAGUAGCUUUGACUCAUAUUUGCAUAAAUAGUUCCCGAACUCAAAAAUGAGUUCACCGUGAAAAUUUCCAGAAGUCCAACGGUCGCUGGUAGAUCUUCAUAUUAUUUAUCCAUUUCUCGUUCCAGCUUUAUACGACGAGGACGAGGACAAGUGCACGCUCGAAACAACGUUUGGAAACACCCCAGAAAAAACUGAGCUUUGAAGAGCAUUACCAAGAUGUUAGAACAGUGUACAUCAGUUUUCAAGACUUCGUCAUUGCCCUCGUGAAUUUCUUCUGCUGUGUAAUUACCAGUUGUGGUCAGAUUCAACAAUAUAGAUGAGAUCUUAUACCAGACGAGCUCCCAGACGUACCAUCACAAGCGACCGCCGGAGAUAUUUGAGGACCGCUAUUUAUUAUUAUAAAACAAUAGUUUAAAA